rnacentral:piRNA from 1 species
UGUGAGGCCUGAGGAUGCACACGGGC